CAGUGAAAUUGAACUCGCUGUGAAGAUGCAGUGUACCCGCGGCAAGACGGAAAGACCCCGUGAACCUUUACUAUAGCUUGACACUGAACAUUGAGCCUUGAUGUGUAGGAUAGGUGGGAGGCUUUGAAGUGUGGACGCCAGUCUGCAUGGAGCCGACCUUGAAAUACCACCCUUUAAUGUUUGAUGUUCUAACGUUGACCCGUAAUCCGGGUUGCGGACAGUGUCUGGUGGGUAGUUUGACUGGGGCGGUCUCCUCCUAAAGAGUAACGGAGGAGCACGAAGGUUGGCUAAUCCUGGUCGGACAUCAGGAGGUUAGUGCAAUGGCAUAAGCCAGCUUGACUGCGAGCGUGACGGCGCGAGCAGGUGCGAAAGCAGGUCAUAGUGAUCCGGUGGUUCUGAAUGGAAGGGCCAUCGCUCAACGGAUAAAAGGUACUCCGGGGAUAACAGGCUGAUACCGCCCAAGAGUUCAUAUCGACGGCGGUGUUUGGCACCUCGAUGUCGGCUCAUCACAUCCUGGGGCUGAAGUAGGUCCCAAGGGUAUGGCUGUUCGCCAUUUAAAGUGGUACGCGAGCUGGGUUUAGAACGUCGUGAGACAGUUCGGUCCCUAUCUGCCGUGGGCGCUGGAGAACUGAGGGGGGCUGCUCCUAGUACGAGAGGACCGGAGUGGACGCAUCACUGGUGUUCGGGUUGUCAUGCCAAUGGCACUGCCCGGUAGCUAAAUGCGGAAGAGAUAAGUGCUGAAAGCAUCUAAGCACGAAACUUGCCCCGAGAUGAGUUCUCCCUGACUCCUUGAGAGUCCUGAAGGAACGUUGAAGACGACGACGUUGAUAGGCCGGGUG
rnacentral:rRNA from 1 species